rnacentral:rRNA from 1 species
ACGAACGCUGGCGGCGUGCUUAACACAUGCAAGUCGAACGGUGAAGCGCCUUCCUUUUUGGUGGGUGUGGAUGAGUGGCGAACGGGUGAGUAACACGUGAGUAACCUGCCCCCUUCUUCUGGAUAACCGCAUGAAAGUGUGGCUAAUACGGGAUAUUCUGGGUCUGUCGCAUGAUGGGUCUGGGAAAGAUAUUGUUUCGGUGGGGGAUGGGCUCGCGGCCUAUCAGCUUGUUGGUGGGGUGAUGGCCUACCAAGGCGGUGACGGGUAGCCGGCCUGAGAGGGUGGACGGUCACACUGGGACUGAGACACGGCCAAGACUCCUACAGGAGGCAGCAGUGGGGAAUAUUGCACGAUGGGCGCAAGCCUGAUGCAGCGACGCCGCGUGAGGGAUGGAGGCCUUCGGGUUGUGAACCUCUUUCGCCAGUGAAGCAGGCCUGCCUCGUUUGUGGGUGGGUUGACGGUAGCUGGAUAAGAAGCGCCGGCUAACUACGUG